GCCAGGCAUGGGGUGCAUGCCUGUAAUCCCAGUGAUUCAGGAGGCUAAGGCAGGAGGAUCACAAGUUUGAGGCCAGCCUCAGCAACAUAGUGAGGCCCUGUCUCGA
rnacentral:sRNA from 1 species